rnacentral:tRNA from 2 species
GCACCCGUGGUGGAAUUGGCAGACACGUAAGAUUCAGGUUCUUAUGCCUUUACCGGCGUGGGGGUUCAAGUCCCUCCGGGUGCACCA